rnacentral:rRNA from 1 species
CGGGACGGGUGAGUAAUGUCUGGGAAACUGCCCGAUGGAGGGGGAUAACUACUGGAAACGGUAGCUAAUACCGCAUAAUGUCUGCGGACCAAAGCGGGGGACCUCCGGGCCUCGCGCCAUCAGAUGAACCCAUAUGGGAUUAGCUUGUAGGCAAGGUAACGGCUUACCUAGGCGACGAUCCCUAGCUGGUCUGAGAGGAUGAUCAGCCACACUGGGACUGAGACACGGCCCAG